GACGAACGCUGGCGGCGUGCUUAACACAUGCAAGUCGAACGGAGAGGCCCUGCUUGUUGGGGGUGCUCGAGUGGCGAACGUGUGAGUAACACGUGAGUAACCUGCCCUUGACUUUGGGAUAACUUCAGAAAACUGGGGCUAAUACCGGAUAGGAGCUCCUGCUGCAGGGUGGGGGGUGGAAAGUUUCGGCGGUUGGGGAUGGACGCGCGGCUUAUCAGCUUGUUGGUGGGGUAGUGGCUUACCAAGGCUUUGACGGGUAGCCGGCCUGAGAGGGUGACCGGCCACACUGGGACUGAGAUACGGCCCAGACUCCUACGGGAGGCAGCAGUGGGGAAUAUUGCACAAUGGGCGGAAGCCUGAUGCAGCAACGCCGCGUGAGGGAUGACGGCCUUCGGGUUGUAAACCGCUUUCGCCUGUGACGAAGCGUGAGUGACGGUAAUGGGUAAAGAAGCACCGGCUAACUACGUG
rnacentral:rRNA from 1 species